AGUGCUUGUCCCUGCAGCACUUGGAGUAGCAGGGUAAGUGCACCCACUCCCACUCGGAUCUGUAGUGGUAAGCGUGGCGGAGCCAGAAAAAUCGCACGCCCCUUGAGCCUGCCCCUUCCUCUGAUAAUAGCUGUUAGCAGCAUAAGAACAAUGAGCUGGGACGGUGUUGGGAUUAUAGCAAGCCCCGGACUGCGAGAUAGGGCCGCAAUCAGCCCCCGCUCCGCAGGCAUAGUCGAUUGUUUUCUGUUGAGCGCUCGCGCUCACAUCAGUCCUGCAUACACACCA
rnacentral:misc_RNA from 1 species